CGAGAACAAGACGAUAAGUCAAGACUCAAGGUUUUUAAAAACGAACGGCAAACGAUGGAAAAUAUUCAGAAAAAUCAGGUAGGUAUGGCUUUAUUUCUUUCUGCUUAUAUACAUCAAGGCGAUGACCUUUUUAGUGCCCAAUCUAGUGGCAAUCGAUUGGUCAAAAACAACAUUUAACAAUGUCUUAUUUAUACAAGAGGACAAAAUGUACUUAAGAGCUCUGAAUAACGGCUUAAUUGUCUUGGAACCAAGUAUUGAGUUCUUGUCUGUAGAUAACUUACCAAAAGUUGUCAGUGUUUCAUGUUGUAGGAACAUGUUUUUGUAUGAGAUUGAUCUGAUGCCACAAAUAAGUAGUGCACAAAGUAUAAACAUUAAUCUGCCCAUUGUGGUGGAAAGUAACAUUGAUUUACCCAUUGUGGUAGAGCCCAUUGACGCACAAAAGAAAAGCGAUCUGCCCAUUGUGGUAGAGCUGUUGAGGCAAAAACUUUGAUCUGCCCAUUGCGGCAGAGCCCAUUGAGGCAAAAAUUAUUGAUCUACCCAUUGCGGUAGAGCCCCAUUAAGGCACAAAACAAAAGUGAUCUGCCCAUUGUGGUAGAGCCCAUUGAGGCACAAAAUAACAUUGUCAUUGAUUUGCCCAUUGUGGUAGAGCCUAUUGAGGCAAAAACUAUUGAUCUACCCAUUGUGGUAGAGCGCAUUGAUUAUAUUCCACUGUUGCUGAGACUGGCAAAUGAUGUUGACGAAAUAUUUAUGCACAUCUUUACAGUAAUUAAUAAUCAGGCUUAAUAAGAUUCCUAUAUAGCAACCCAGUGUGGAUUUUUGUCUGCAUAUAUUAACUUACUAGCAGUAAUAGCAUGUCAACUGAUCGACUUUUCUUUGACGGUCUGUUUAUAUGUCCGAGAUAUGUCCAUUGUUAGCAUAAUAUGAAAUAACAACGGCCUAAUCAUAUGUUCACUUGACUGUGUUGCUACAUUUCAGGGUAUACUAUAUUUUUUGAUAAUGCUCACAAUUUCUUUCUUAUUAUAUAGUUUUGCAGUUCUGACUGAGUACAAUCCUAAUCAUUACAAUAAAUGGUGUCAUCUCAUCGAAAGCCGAUGUAUUAAUUGAUUGUUCAGAAACAGAUUGUUCAGGUGUUCUGUGAUAGGGGUCGCAUUAAAACAAUAAUUGGGACAAAAACUGACUUAGUAUUUCUAUAUAUGAUAUUAUACAGUAUUUAGUGGCAAUUAGCUAGCCAUGGCAACUGGUCAUGCUACAGUAUAUCAUUUGGAUAAUGCAAAUAUAAAUGUUAUGGCUAGCUUUGCCACAG